ensembl:lncRNA novel transcript
UGGGAAGUGACAACAAGGAAGUAGAUGGACAUCCACCCUGUAUCCUGUGAUAAGAGAAAAUAAUUAGGCAGUAUUGGGGAGACCUUUAGGAAAGUGAUAGCCUCAGUAAGCCACCUUUCAGUUUAAGGAAAAAGAUGGAGCAAAUUCCCAAAGAAGACAGUGUACACUGGGAAAGUUUGAUGUUUAUGAAUUAGCAAUUGCAGAGGCAGAAUCAACCAUCUCUAUUUUUCCCUUCUCUUUCAUUUCUUCAUUUAUCUGUGCUUACUUAUAGCCAUUCUAUCUAAAACGUGUAAGUGUAAAAGAAUAAUUUCCUCCUAGCUAGGAACUUUAAGGGUGAAAAAUUUAUAUCAAAACAUAAUUUAUUGAUUCUGUAGCUUAUAACUCCUCUUCAUAAAAGAGAUGUACUAAAUGCAAUGAACCAAUCUUAAUUUAGUGAUUUAAAAAAAUCCUACCCUUUUUAAGGUUGUUGGCUAUUUGGUGCAGUCAUUUUCUACCUUAUUUUGACUUUCAUACCCUUAUUUUUUUAUGGUUAAGUUUAGGAUUAUUUUCAUUAUCCAGAAGUCAUAUGCUAUAUUAUGUUACAUAGUCUUAGUUAAGUAACAGAUCUUUGCAUAAUUAAGAUUAAAAUUGAAUAUCAACAAAAUUCCCAGAAUUCAUUUUAUUUUAAUAGUGACAUGAACUUACCUUAACAGUUUUGCUGGCAUGUGAAUACAGUAUAGUGUAGUGCCAUUUUUAAAAAAUGAGCUGCCAUUAUCUAGAAACUUCCUGUAUUGGCACUGUGGAACAUGGUUCUCAAAGUAUGGUUUGUGUCCAUCUGCUAAGAUUUAAAAACUUUUUUGUGAGCAGUUUUUUUUUUUGUAGUUACGUGAUUUUUAUCUCAUAAUAAUUAAUUUGGCUAUAAGAGUCGGUGAACAUUUGAUUACCUUAUCCAAAGAACAUCCUUUUAAUCAAUUGGGUUGAGCUUAGUUUCUGAGGUUUCAGAUGCAGCUGUAUGUGUAUGGGUUUCUUUCUCCUGCGAAAUAGUAUGAGAAAAAUGUUUUAGGAAUGCUAUUAUAAAUAUCAGCUGUUCUUGAAUAAAGGAAAAUAAUCAAAAUGAAUGCUAAACCUAUUCUAUCACAGUUCAUUUCACUAAGCAAGAUUUUAGCCCCUAUAAUAUACCAGACACUGUGGGUUACAGUAGUGAUAUCAGACAUGUUCUUUCCUCUUAGAGCUUACAUUCUAAUGAGAGAGACAAGAAUUAACCAGAUAGUUACACAAAUGAAUGUAUAAUUACAACUGGGACAAGUACUGUGAAAUGAAUACUGUGAGAAUGUAUAAUAGGUGGAUUUAACUUGGUAAGGGUAACUUGGUAACCUCCCUGAGGGAGCUUGAGCUGAGUUUUGAGGCAUAGGUAGGCAUUUUAUAGGUAGGCAUAGGUAGGCAUUUUAUAGGUGACCUGGGGAGGAAGGGGAAUUUCAUGCAGACUGAACAUGUAUCACUUUUUAAUCUCCUCUUCAAUUCUGCAGCUCCUUACUUCAGGCCCUCAGAAUUGUCUUUUACAGUUUACAACACACAUUGUAGCUAUAUGAAGUAUUUUACAGAGGGUAGUCCAUGCUUCCUAAACUAUGUACUGAGGCACCCCAGGAGCACCACAACAAACUCACAGGGGCACUAUCAUGGGAUAUUUUAAAUUUUCAAGGCCAACACAGUGACAUCAGUUGGACACCGUGCAAACCACUAUCUUGAGGUAGUUCAGAACUUCUACACAUUAAAUUGUACUUCAUUCCUUUUGACAUCGUAUCUUUGUGAGGCUGUGUUUUUGUAAAUUGCUGUAAUAAAACACAAGGACUAUGGGAAAAUUACUGUAGAACAGGAAUGAGGGUAGCGGUUUCCAAGUUUAUUCCUAAGUUUGAGAAGUUAUGAAGUGCCCAACAGAUGUGCACAUCCCAUUAAGAAUAAAAAAUGUUAAUGUAUAUUAUUUUUUAAAUAGCUACUAAGUUGUUAGGAUAGACAAACAUAAGUUUGGGUUUAACUGUUUAAUAAAUGGAACUGUUAGGUGUUUCUUUUAGCUUGCAACACCAUGAAAAAAUUACUGAGACACUAGGAAUGCUGUGAACUGAGAAAGUUUGGGACCUUUGGCAUAACUAAAUCCUUCAUUUAACAGAUGGAGUCUCAGUCUGUCACUAAGGCUGGAGUGCAGUGGCGCGAUCUCGGCUCACUGCAACCUCCACCUCCCGGGUUCACGCGAUUCUCCAGCCUCAGCCUUCCACGUAGCUGGGACUACAGGUGCAUGCCACCACACCCAGUGUUGUGAACCACUUGUCAUGGGAUAACCAAAAUUAAACCUGGAAUCGCAGAAGAAACAAAUUUUUUGAAGAAAUUGGAUGUACUUUUUUAAAAUUUUUCAUUCAACUAAAACUUUGUUAACUGUUUCUUGGUUGUGGUCUUCUCUAAAUUGUAAUCUUUGGCAUUCACUUCCAAAGUAUCCACCACUAAACUUCAUAACAUUUAUUGUG